rnacentral:tRNA from 1 species
GCCUGGGUGGUGAAACUGGUAAACACAGAGGACUUAAAAUCCUCCGCCGCAAGGCCUACGGGUUCGAGUCCCGUCCCAGGCA